GAAGCGGCUCUCCCAACUUGCGCGAGGAGGGUGAAGUCCUGGGGAGGAAUUGAAGGACCGGAUGGUCCGGUUUCGAUGGCAACCCCGGGGUCUCACCCUUGGGUCCUUUUGAGGUUCUCUCAUUGGCUUACAAAAGGGAGAUUAGAAGACUUGCUUUUUCAACCUUCCCACAUCUAAAGAUGCUGAAAAAGAUGAUACUGACAUCAAUAUAAAAGCAUUCUCUGACUCAGACUGAAUGCUUCUUGAGACCAAGGAUCAAGUGUUCACCGCCAUUUGCCCAGCACCUGCCACAAUGCCUGACACUUACUAUAAAAUGGAAUGAAGCACUGAUACAUGCUACAACAUGGAUGAACCUUGAUAACAUUAUGCCAACUAAAAGAAGCUUGUUAUAAAGUGUACAUUUAUAUGCUACGACCAGAAAAGGAAAAUCUUCAGACAGAAAUCAGAUCAGUAGCCGCCCGAAAUUGGAGGUGAAAUUGAGGAUUGGCUGCAAAUACUUGUGAGGGAACUUCAUGGGGUUUUGGAAGUGUUCUAAACCUAAACUGUAACAGUGAUUGCAUAGCACUGUAAAUUUAAUAAAAAUCAUUGGCUGUACACUUACAAUGGGUGAAUAUGAUAUGUAAAUUAUAUUUCAAUAAAACUGUAAAAUUGUUAAGUGAA